rnacentral:lncRNA from 1 species
ACCUCUUAAAAGAAAACAAAAAAUUUCCCUUCUCCUUUCCUAAAACAAGUUAUGUGAGUGGCUAAAAAUUACCAAUUGAAAUUAGCUUAUAGCUAACUCAUAUAAUAAAACGUGGUGAAUAAAUAAUGUUCCUACCAAACGUAGCAUAAAAGAAAUAGACGAAAGCAAGGUUGCAUGUAAAUAAUGUUCCUACCAAACGUAGCAUAAAAGAAAUAGACGAAAGCAAGGUUGCAUGUCAGCCACCUUUACUAAAGCUGGAUGCUGCUUCCAAAACUUGGCUUGUUCUUG